AGGUAUGUAUACAGUAUUGUAACUUAAUUAAGUAAGCAGUAUUUUCUAUUGACAUGAAACGCUAUUAAUAGAAACAGACGUUUGCUACACUUAACUCAUGCGGUGUUACUAAAAAACUUUUGACGUAAUUCCGUACUGUGCCUUAUAUUUUCUCCACGAAAUGCAAAACAUGAAAUCUUGAUCUCAGUUUUUAUGGUUGCUAAUUACAAAUCGCGACUGUAAUGUAUUAUUUUUACUAGUUCCCUAUCUGUCGUAUUACGAAAUACGAAAUAUAUCAGGCAAAAAAUACAAAGUAAAUGGCGCACUGCGGUUUGGAGGAUGAUUCACCUCGUUUGUGGAGUUUUCAGCAAAAUGUUUUGCGUUAUGGACCGGAUGUUGGAACAUACGAUCCCCAUUCCAAUGCAACAGUCAAUGAACCCCUUGGAAUUCAUCCCCCAUUCGGAAGCUUUCAAGAACGAAGCACAUUGGCCUAUAUGUUCGAAAAAGGCGGACGAGAAACCCCAGCAAAAUUGUAUGACACCAGCCAUAAGAAAACGAAAAAUUCACCCCAGAUAUCCAGCGAUUUCAAAAGCAUCGUUCCUCGCUUCCAACCACUGAAACCAACAGGUGUGGCGCCAUGUGAUCACAACAAACAUGUCAUCUGGUUUCCGACACACAUUCCUCGACCCACACCGCAGUCCCAUCAUAAGGUCAUGGCCCUGUUGCUGACCUACCUCAACCAAGGCAACUUGGCUCGAAAGGGAUUUUACGAUGGACCAAACGUAUCCCCACGUGGUCGUGCUCACGGCUACACAGUAGACGCCAGUGGGAAUGUUUUCGAGAAAGGAGCCGAUAACAUACUAAUCUGCCAACGCGACGACGCCUGCUCACAGGCAGCCGAGCCAUUUCACCAUCGAUUUUACGGCGGAGGAUUUUCUCGAGCGACACGAGGAUCGGUUUUUCCACUCAGUAUCACUCCUGGGCCGGGAGCGUACGAAUCGCCUGGAACCAUGAAGAAAAUUAAUUCUGGUGGAACUCGCUCGGCUCCCGUUCAUCCUGUCUUAAGAUUUGAACAAGAAAUGGCAUUAGACCAGCCGAAUCGCGGUAACGAUGCGUUUUUUCCUGGCACCCGGACCAGCCAAACAUUUUGUAGUCAAACAGAGAAACAGAAAUCAUUGUUGGAUCGAGAUUUAGUGCUGGAAAAGCGUAUAAACCGAAUUAUCGUCAACCAUGGAAAAAUGAUCGAUCAGUAUAUGCAGGCAAUGAAUGCUGCACAAAGACGAUCCAUUGGGUUCAGUUCGACAACAAAGCGCGUUUUGGAUGUCGGUUUGAUCGACAUGGACAUUCCGGCUUCCAGUGCCUACGUUGAUCCCCGUUCGGCUAUAAAAACAGGCUCCUAUCCCGUGAAGCGUCCCGCUAACAAAGGCUUUCUUGCCACAACACCGCGGUUUAAAACCUCCGCACCGAACAAUAUGAGUCUGUUCAGUCCGACGGAGUUUCUCAAUGUCCGCCAGCAAAUUCACAAUGCACAGACACAUAUUCGAGCGGCAUUCGGUAGUGGCGUCCCGCGGGCGGGAACCAACGCCGCACAGAUAUCCCCGACACCGGCGCCCAACACUUACUCCAUACCGGCUACGAUUGCCGUGGUGGUGCGCGGCAGUCAGGUGAAAAAGGAUCGCAAUGGGAUAUUUCCCUGGCAGGGUUGGAGGGAGAAGGAAGGCGCCCACAAACGCUACCUGGAUCGAAUACCCGCUCCGGGAUGGUACGACGUCGCCCGAGCGGAUCGCCUUACGCGCUGCCGGAGAUCGUUCCAUCGUCCGUAUCUGGCCAGAGUUCCACCGGCUUUCAAUACGACCGAUCCUCGCAAGCCGGUGGCGUUGAAUGCUGCACGCGAUACACCAGGAGCCAACCGCUAUAGCUGCAAAAAAUGGGCAGUUAUCAAAAAGGUCACUCAACAUGGGCCGACUGUUCCUAAGGCCAAGAUGCGUUCCUUGUUCAGUCCGAAGGCCAAGGGACCAGGGCCCGCCGACUAUAAGGUUGCAACAAUUUUAUCCAGCUCAGUAGCCAGGUCAACUUUCAACGUUCGCUAUACCGAUCCUUACCGACGGCCAUGGACGCAAAUUCAUCCACCAGUGUACAACAAUUAUUCAUAUUCAGAUGAUGAUAGUUAGCCCAUUGUCAGGUCUUCCGGCUGAUUACAUAGCGUAUGCAAAGCUGCAAGCCACGAUUCUGCUGGUCGGUUGGACUUUAAUCGCGGUGCUCUGUCUUUCUUCACAAUCCGCACACGGACUAUGUUGGUUUCAGAUUUCUCAGAUCCGAUUUGGAUCAAGAAUAAUUUUAUUAAUCAGAUUUCUGCAUGUAUACAGUGUUGCACUGGCAGUGCUUCCACACAUAAUUGCCAGAAUUCUAUAUCUGCCCUCAUCGACAGCCAGGGACACAUGAGAUCGGGUAUCCGGUGGAGAAGUGAUAAUGAUACCGCAUGCUGUGAGAUCUGGUUUGGAGCACGUAUUAGAUACCGGUCGCGAGGCAUCUCUGGACUCUGUCCGGGGUAGCAGUACGGAAGCUGCGUGACAUUAAUUUCAUGCCGGCAUUUUGUACACUAUUGGCAUUAUAUAGAUAUUAUUCUAUAUUUCGGAAGCG